GUACUUGUUUUGGCAGCACAUUUACUAAAACUGGAAAUACACAGAAAGAUUAGCAUGGGCCCUGUGCAAAGAUGACAUGGGAAUACUUCAAGCAAUCCAUAAUCUU